GGUGAUGUGGUGUAGGGGUAGCAUGUGUCGUUGUGGAGUAUCCACAACACCAAGCCGAGCUUGGUUGUUAACCUAUGGAUGUUCACGAAACCGACCCGACCUGGGUUCGAUUCCCAGCAUCGCCA